rnacentral:misc_RNA from 1 species
GAAAUGCGAUAAGUAGUGUGAAUUGCAGAAUUCAGUGAAUCAUCGAAUCUUUGAACGCACAUUGCGCCCCUUGGUAUUCCAUGGGGCAUGCCUGUUCGAGCGUCAUUUGUACCCUCAAGCUCUGCUUGGUGUUGGGUGUUUGUCCCGUCUCCGCGCGUGGACUCGCCCCAAAGUGAUUGGCAGCCGGCGUACUGGUCCCGGAGCGCAGCACAUGUCGCGCAAACGAGUGCCUUGGUACGGCGGCGUCCAUAAGCCCCUCUCUCACGCUCUUGACCUCGGAUCAGGUAGGGAAACCCGCUGAACUUAAGC